rnacentral:rRNA from 1 species
UACGUAGGGGCCUAGCGUUGUCCGGAAUUAUUGGGCGUAAAGAGCUCGUAGGCGGUUCGGCAAGUCGGAUGUGAAAUCUCCACGCUUAACGUGGAGGGGCCAUUCGAAACUGCUGUGACUCGAGUCCGGUAGGGGAGUGUGGAAUUCCCGGUGUAGCGGUGAAGUGCGCAGAUAUCGGGAGGAACACCAGUAGCGAAGGCGGCACUCUGGGCCGGAACUGACGCUGAGGAGCGAAAGCGUGGGGAGCGAACAGG